ACGCCGCGUGGAUGAUGAAGGCCCUUGGGUCGUAAAAUCCUGUCAGUUGGGAAGAAAUGCAUAUUGGCCAAUACCCAUUAUGUUUGACGGUACCAGCAGAGGAAGCACCGGCUAACUCCGUGCCAGCAGCCGCGGUAAUACGGAGGGUGCAAGCGUUGUUCGGAAUUACUGGGCGUAAAGCGCGCGUAGGUGGUCUAUUAAGUCAGAUGUGAAAGUCCCUGGCUCAACUGGGGAAGUGCAUAUGAAACUGGUAGACUUGAGUACUGGAGGGGGAAGUGGAAUUCCCGGUGUAGAGGUGAAAUUCGUAGAGAUCGGGAGGAAUACCGGUGGCGAAGGCGACUUCCUGGCCAGAUACUGACACUGAGGUGCGAAAGCGUGGGUAGCAAACAGGAUUAGAUA
rnacentral:rRNA from 1 species